rnacentral:rRNA from 1 species
AGUCAAUAGAUACCCGGGGUAGUCCUAGCCGUAAACGAUACUCGCUAGGUGUCGGCCACGGUGCGACCGUUGUCGGUGCCGUAGGGAAAGCCGUGAAGCGAGCCACCUGGGAAGUACGGCCGCAAGGCUGAAACUUAAAGGAAUUGGCGGGGGAGCACCACAACGGGUGGAGCUUGCGGUUUAAUUGGAUUCAACGCCGGAAAUCUUACCGGGACCGACAGCAAUAUGAAGGCCAGGCUGAAGACUUUGCCGGAUUAGCUGAGAGGUGGUGCAUGGCCGUCGUCAGUUCGUACUGUGAAAGCAUCCUGUUAAGUCAGGCAACGAGCGAGACCCACGCCCACAGUUGCCAGCGUACUCUCUGGAGUGACGGGUACACUGUGGGGACCGCCGCUGCUAAAGCGGAGGAAGGAAUGGGCAACGGUAGGUCAGUAUGCCCCGAAUAUCCCGGGCUACACGCGAGCUACAAUGGUUGGUACAAUGGGUAUCUACCCCGAAAGGGGACGGGAAUCUCCUAAAACCAAUCUUAGUUCGGAUUGA